UAGAGUCUCAUUCAUCAAUGAAACUGCCCUUCAUUGGCAGAACCCCUGAAGGGCAGAAGCAAUUUGUAGCCUUUACGAUGGCCGUAUCUACCUGUACCCGCUGGGGGGAGUCUCGUCCCAUUGUUACUUCAAGAUAUUGAUGUUAAAGUAAUCAUACACUGUGGAAAAGACUGAGGACUGCCCAUGCAUGGAUGUGCUGGGGGAAGACUCCAAGGAACCCCUCUGUACUUCCUGAACCUCUCAGCAAGAGCCUGGCACAAUGUGUUAACAAACUGAAGGGGAAGGGGAAACAUUCCCCGGCUGGGAAGUUGUUGCAUCCUGAGACUCAGAGGACAUAUACUUUGGGUAGAGAGAGAAGGAUUUCAUCAUGUUCCCCACAUUUGCUGAAAGACUGUUACUCUCGUACUUACUGCACUGAGA